rnacentral:rRNA from 1 species
CAGUAGCCGCGGUAAGACGAACCGUGCGUACGUUGUUCGGAAUCACUGGGCAUAAAGGGCGCGUAGGCGGGUCACCAAGUCCGUGGUGAAAGCCCCCGGCUCAACCGGGGAAGUGCUUCGGAUACUGGUGGUCUCGAGUGGGGUAGGGGCAUGCGGAACUUCCGGUGGAGCGGUGAAAUGCGUAGAUAUCGGAAGGAACGCCGGUGGCGAAAGCGGCGUGCUGGACCCCAACUGACGCUGAGGCGCGAAAGCCAGGGGAGCAAACGGGAUUAGAUACCCCUGUAGUCCCUGUCUCUUAUAA